CCAGUUUCUUAAUUGUUGCAUUCCCCCAGUUUCUUCACCCAUUUUCAUACAGGGUCACCCUCCAUCAAUUCAUUCAAUUUGUUCAGAAAUACAACUUUCAGAUUCAGCUCCUGCUUAUCUGAGGCCAAGUGAAUGUUGGACGCUAGUUAGAGAGUAAAAGUGUGCAACUACUUCUUGCCAACGAGAGCUCCGUCAUUCGACAGUACAGCGGGGAUUCCCAAUGCUGACAAAAACAAUUUGAAGGAUUUACAUAGGGUCUAUUCAGUAGUGAUUUUGAGAAUUGAUUUUUUGACUAUUUAGGAGAAAAGUGAGAGCCGCCGAUGAGAAAAGAAGUCAAAAAUUACGGCUGGAAGAAUGAAAUAAAGGUCAAAAAAUCAAUUUUUGUUGGUGGAAAAUCACUUCCAAACGAGGCCAUAAUACAAAUAAGCUGCUUAAGAGUAAGGGAAGAUUGGGGCGGGUAAGAUUAAUUGGAGAAGUUGUAUAAACAUAGAUCCGCCAGAUUGGGAAUAGGUAUGAAUUGUAGUAUUUGUGUAGAUAGAGAUUUUUUCUCUUGUAUAGAGAGGGAUUAUGUGAAAUUGUUAUUAUUAUUAAUCUUAUAAAUAUAUAAAAUAUAUCAUUGUUAUUUAUCACCUGAUUUUUGAAAUCU
rnacentral:lncRNA from 1 species